rnacentral:tRNA from 1 species
GUCGCCCAUGGUCAGGCCCUUGUCGACGGCCAGGCCCUCGAUCUGGCCGAACACCGGCGUGUGCGUGGCGUCCAGCUCGUCGGUGCGGUAC